UUUAUACGUCGAAUUUUGGUCGCGUCGAAUGCACUUAAGACAAUAGAUAAUGAGAUGAUAAACCUCAUUAAGCUUCAUUAUCUAUUGUUUGAAUUGCAUUCGACGCGACCGAAAUUCGACGUAUAAA